rnacentral:rRNA from 1 species
GUUAGGAAUAUUGGACAAUGGGCGCAAGCCUGAUCCAGCCAUGCCGCGUGAGUGAUGAAGGCCUUCGGGUUGUAAAGCUCUUUAGCCGAUGAUUAUAAUGACUGUAGUCGGAAAAUAAGCCCCGGCUAACUUCGUGCCAGCAGCCGCGGUAAUACGAAGGGGGCGAGCGUUAUUCGGAAUCACUGGGCGUAAAGCGUGCGUAGGCGGCUUUGCAAGUUGGGAGUGAAAGCCCAGGGCUCAACCCUGGAAUUGCUCUCAAAACUGCAAGGCUCGAAUUCGGGAGAGGAUAGCGGAAUUGUCAGUGUAGCAGUGAAAUGCGUAGAUAUUGACAGGAACACCAGAGGCGUAAGCGGCUAUCUGGACCGAUAUUGACGCUGAGGCACGAAAGCGUGGGGAUCAAACAGGAUUAGAAACCCCAGUAGUCC